rnacentral:siRNA from 1 species
AGGAUGGAAGGCUACAAUCUUAUG